AUUGAACGCUGGCGGAAUGCUUUACACAUGCAAGUCGAACGGCAGCACGGACUUCGGUCUGGUGGCGAGUGGCGAACGGGUGAGUAAUGUAUCGGAACGUGCCCAGUCGUGGGGGAUAACGUAGUGAAAAUUACGCUAAUACCGCAUACGCACUAUGGAUGAAAGCGGGGGAUCGCAAGACCUUGCGCGAUUGGAGCGGCCGAUAUCAGAUUAGGUAGUUGGUGGGGUAAAGGGCCACCAAGCCAACGAUCUGUAGCUGGGCUGAGAGGACGACCAGCCACACUGGAACUGAGACACGGUCCAGACUCCUACGGGAGGCAGCAGUGGGUAAUUUUGGACAAUGGGCGAAAGCCUGAUCCAGCCAUUCCGCGUGCAGGAUGAAGGCCCUCGGGUUGCAAACUGCUUUUGUACAGAACGAAAAGGUUUCUACUAAUACUAGGAGCUCAUGACGGUACUGUAAGAAUAAGCACCGGCUAACUACGUGCCAGCCGCCGCGGUAA
rnacentral:rRNA from 1 species